GAUGAACGCUGGCGGCGUGCCUAAUACAUGCAAGUCGAGCGAACAGACGAGGAGCUUGCUCCUCUGACGUUAGCGGCGGACGGGUGAGUAACACGUGGAUAACCUACCUAUAAGACUGGGAUAACUUCGGGAAACCGGAGCUAAUACCGGAUAAUAUAUUGAACCGCAUGGUUCAAUAGUGAAAGACGGUUUUGCUGUCACUUAUAGAUAGAUCCGCGCCGCAUUAGCUAGUUGGUAAGGUAACGGCUUACCAAGGCAACGAUGCGUAGCCGACCUGAGAGGGUGAUCGGCCACACUGGAACUGAGACACGGUCCAGACUCCUACGGGAGGCAGCAGUAGGGAAUCUUCCGCAAUGGGCGAAAGCCUGACGGAGCAACGCCGCGUGAGUGAUGAAGGUCUUCGGAUCGUAAAACUCUGUUAUUAGGGAAGAACAAAUGUGUAAGUAACUAUGCACGUCUUGACGGUACCUAAUCAGAAAGCCACGGCUACUACGUG
rnacentral:rRNA from 1 species